GACGAACGCUGGCGGCGUGCUUAACACAUGCCAGUCGAACGGGCCCGCUCUCUUUUUUGGGGGUGGGUUGAGUGGCGAACGGGUGAGUAUCACGUGAGUAACCUGCCCCCUGCUCCUGGAUAACUGCUUGAAAGGGCGGCUAAUACGGGGUGUGCCGGCUGGUCCGCAUGGGCCUGGUCGGGAUAGUUUCAUCUUCGGGUGUUUCGGUGGGGGAUGGGCUCGCGGCCUAUCAGCUUGUUGGUGGGGUGAUGGCCCACCAAGGCGGUGGCGGGUAGCCGGCCUGAGAGGGUGGGCGGCCACACUGGGACUGAGACACGGCCCAGACUCCUGCGGGAGGCAGCAGUGGGGGGUAUUGCACAAUGGGCGGAAGCCUGAUGCAGCGACGUCGCGUGAGGGAUGGAGGCCUUCGGGUUGUGAACCUCUUUCUCCGGUGGUGAAGGCCCUGUCCGUUGCGGCGGGGUUGACGGUAGCCGGGUAUGAAGCGCCGGCUAACUACGUG
rnacentral:rRNA from 1 species